UUCUUUCUUUCUCUCUCUCUCCCCUUCCUCCCUCCCUCCCUCCCUUCCUUCUAUCUUUUUUUCCCUUCCUUUCCUCCCUCCGUUAAUGUGACUGAACUUUUGAUAAACAUAUCCCUAUAGCACAUACGUCUGUGCACCAUUUGCCCCUCAGAGUUAACUGCCUUGAAAGAUGCCACCAUAAGCCAAGGAGUCUUCCACCAAUCACAAGGUUUUUUUAAUUGUCUUUAAGUCCAAUCCCACUUAUUUUUUAUUCCCACUCUUUAAAGGCACUCAAAGACAACUAGCUCUGCAUCCUUUGAGACUGAUUUCAUUUUCAAGAAUAGCUGAAAAAAUCGUAUUGUUGCAAAGUUUAGUGCAUGAAAUAGCUGAUCAGAUUGGUUCACAAGAAUUAUAAAAACUCAGACUGAUUUUCAUCUGUGCUAAAUGAAGUGCCAGGGAAGGUCAUUUCAGUGAAUAGACCCAGAGUAGCUGGAUAUCUAGUCCUAAGCACCCUGCUAGAGAGCAUACUAAAAAAGUAAUGAGACAAGAAAAUAAUUUUUUACCAAAAUGUACCUCAAUAAGAAAGUAGUAUGUGGUUAAGAUAUUUGGAUACCUGGGUAGAGGUGAAACUCACUACCAAAGACAUGUUAGAGUAAGAACAGAAGUAGAUAAAUUCAUUCUAAGGAGGUCUAACAAGAGCAUUUUACUGCCUUUUCUGCUGUUCCUACGAGCCUUUUUUCACUAAAUAAAACUAGAAACAGUUAAUGAAUAUUGUUUUGCAUGGGCCCGAAAUUAUUGUACUUUACAUGUCUUAAUCAACAGAGAUAAUAUAGAAAUGUUUUAAAAUAUGAAAAUAUUAUUGGAAGAAGCAUACAGUCUCUCUAAAAGUAUUUUAAGGACAAUAAAAGUUUAAAAAUUCAAAUUUUAAAAUAUGAUAAUUUUGCUUUUAUCAUUAGAAGGAAAUACAUGGUCCUUUUGCACAAAAGAGUAAAAUUCUUAAUUUAGUAAGGUACUUUUUCUGAAGAACAAGACAGCAUUAUUUGUCUGAAAUUUGGUCCUAUGAGUUGCUAUAUUUCAAUGAUUCUGGAGGUGGCUGAGUUCUCUGAUGAGCAUCAAACCUGUUUAAACUUUUCUGUUUGAACCUGUGAAGAUGAUUAGGUUUGUGACUCAGAUUUUAGAUUCUAGUACAGUCAGACACAUGGUGCCCCAAAUGGAGUCAGGUAAUUGGGGAGUAGAGGAGAAACAGACUGAGUCUGAUUGAAAAGCUAGACACUGAUGUGUACUAGGGAAUCAAGGAAGAGGCAACAAGCACAUAUGAGCACUUACUGUAUUCCAGAAAACACGUUAGGUAUUCAGGAUCUACAGAUGACUAAGGAAUAUUCUCUGAGUCCAUGGAUCUCACUGUCUGCUGAGGAGACAGACCAAAAAAGAGAAACUUUGAUAAAAUUAUUGGUGUAACUUUUGUUCAUUUUUAGAAAAUAUUUCGCAGAGAAAACUAUACUGGUACUGAAACUAGAAUUCUAUAUCCUCUUGGUGCAUUUGUCCUUAAUUUAUUACACUAUCCCAUUCUCCCCUCAUUUUAAAAGUCAGGAAAUAGCAAGUGGACAUAAGUCUCAGGAUACAAAUAUGGAACAUGAUUAAUAUUGUAUUCUUGUACAAUAUUGGAAAAGAAAGAUCCUUAGUUAAUAAUUAAGAGACAAAAAAGUGUUAAGAAUAGAAGCUAAUACAUUAUAGACAUAGAAAGAUAUAAACGACAUGGAGAGUAACCACAGAAUUCUGUCCCUAUCUGAUGGCUUGUCCCAAAUUAUUCAAUAUUUUUAGUCUCUGUGCCAAUUUGAGUACGUAAUUCAAUAUUUUCAUAGAAUAAAUAUUUCUGUCUUCAUCUUAUGGCUGCAUGAUGUGUUUGUUUAUUUAUACAGUAAUCAUCACUUUUUCCAUAAAGUAUUUAAGGCACUUAUGGGCAUAUUUGUAUUUUUAUGUCUGAAAGUUUUUGACAACUAAGCUUAUUUUUAAAAAUCUAUGCAUUUAUAGACCUUUUAGCAGAAGAAACUUAACUAUAUUUGCAUGUGUAUAAUCCAUUCAUCACUAAGAAGCAUUAGCUUCAUGGUUGGAAUGCUGCAGCUGUUUAAAGCUUUCAGGCAACACUAAAAACUUAGUUUUAAGACAGGAAACUGGGAAGAUUAGUAUAUUUAAUUGGAGUUUCAGAAGAGAUGUUAAAAUAAGCACCUAAAUUGAUUUUGAUAUAAGAUUAUCUGGAUAAUACUCUCACUGAUUAAAAAAAAUAUAAACUAUAAAGCCACUGUAUUAUUAAUGGUAAAUAAAUUGUUGAAAACAGUUCUGCAAAUGAGUCAUUGUAUCAGUUUUCCUCUGCAUUAACUUCCAAUAAUCAUUUAUGACCAACACAGGAGAAGAGGGUGCUAGUCCAAAAAGAAUACUUUUAAAAAGUAUGACACAAUUUUAUCAUCUUUACAAGAAACUAGGUGUUUUUUGGCUGGACUAAAGGUGGUGGGAGGGGGUCGGAAUUUCAGGGUUGUAGGUAAUAAAUUCAUAAAGAUCACUUAAGUCAAAUCACGGUUUUCCAUACUUACCUAAACAUGUCAAAGAUGAUUUACCUUUAUCUCCGAUAGACUGUCGUUUAUCAUAUGGCACUUUUUGAAAAUUUAAGUCAUUUAAUUUUCUGUAAAUAUGUAAAAGUAAAAGGAAAGCAGCCCAAUAGUGAAGAUUUGAAAAUUGGAUGGAGGAAAACUUUCUUACUUAAAAUCACUUUCUCGUUUAUUUCUCUUUGACUAUCUAUGUAUAGAAACAUUUUAACAAAGAAUUCUCAAGUAACGUUUUUGGAGAAGAAAAAGUUGUAAAAAAUGUAAUGAAUAGUUUGAAACUGCUAAAAUAUCUGGAUUAUUGCUACACAUUUAAUAAGGAACAUCUUUACUUUGGUAGAAACAUACGGUAAUCUUUGAAUGAAGUCUUUUGUCUUUUCUUUCCUUAAUUAUGAUUUCAGUGAAUCAAGUGAUCACAUGAUCCUAUUGUUCAAGGAAUAAACUGAUCUAUUAAUAUUUUUAAAAGGAAAAAGUACUAUGAAUUGUUAACUAAAUAUUGGAUUUUUGCCUGUUUGUUCUUUUAAAAUGUAGAAUAGAAGAAAUAGUAAUUAAACUCUCUAGAAUUAUUCUCUUUAUCUUAGGAGAAUAAAAAAUAGAAUAGAAAGUAUAAAAAUUACAGAAUUUCAGGACUAGAAGAGAUCAUUUAUCAAUGCAUAAAUCUAAAUUCAUUGAGUUGAAAAUCAAUGCACAAAUUCUUUAAACAAUUAAUCCAAACAUGUCAUAAUGGUACAUAUCUGAUGAGUAACUUAAGCCAAGGUAUUUCAUUUUCAUAGGAUUUAUUGAGAAAUAAAAUAUUUAACUGUUACGUAGUCUUGGCUUUUGGCUGUAAUCCUUUCUCAGCCCACAAGUCACCCGUGGAGAGAGCACAGUAACAUGCUGGUUACAUCAGGGAGGGUUUAGAAGCUCUUCUUGCAUGUCCAAGUCUAUUUAGAUUAUUCAUCCUUAGAAGAAAAAUUCUUAUAAAGGCAAUUUUGGUGACACAAACUACAAUCCAUGUAAUGUAUACAGAAUUCAGUAUUAAAAUUUUAUAAAUUUUCAUAUUUUCCAAAUUUUAUAUAAUAUUAAAGUCAUAAGAAAUUACCUUUUAAUAGAGAUGCAGCUUUGUACUUAAAAUUUGUCAGGUUCUGCUAAUUGGUUUAAAAAUUACUAUGUAGUGUAGAACCCCAAAAGGCUUUGCAACUAGUUUUAUAUCAUAAAUUCUUCUUUAAAAAUUCCCAGGGAUUUUUGUAAUACAUUUUUGCUUACUAUUUUUCAUCCUUCUUCCACCAUCUUAAUUACUCAAACUUUUUUUUUUUUACUACAAAGUCAGUGCUUACUAAAAGCUCGUGGGAAAUAAAAUAGUAUUAUAUACAUUGUUUCACACAGAUUGAUGUAAAAAACAUUUGGUGUCCUGUUGAUUGAAAGAACAGAUGCUUGUAUAAUUUAUGAAGCCAGGAAUACAUCACAAUAUCUUCCAAAAAUAGUAAGGUAUUCUAACAACAUAAUAAGGAAUGCAGUCAAAAAGCUUGGGAGACUCUACAUUAUAGACUGAAUUUUGAAUGGAACAUAGAAAAUCUGAAAGAUGUUAUCAAUAUUCUAAAAAUACAAUUAUAAGCAGUCAUCUUAUAAUGUAACAUGAUAAAAUAUUAAAAUAAUAUUGUGUUGUUUCACCUGAAAAAUAAAAAAGCCUAGCAUAUAUUUUGUUUGUUUGUUUUUAAUUAUGCAUUUGGGGUCCCCCACGCCCUGGCAAAUUUUAACAGUUUGUAUAAGCAAGGUGCCUUUGUCUUUUCAUAUUGAAGUCCCAUUAUGUCAAUGUUUUCCCAGAAAAAAAUAUUUUCUCAGAAAAAUGCUUACUUACUCUGACACACAUAUUACUCUUAAUUUUCCAAUAUUAAUUUACCUUAUUAAUAAUAACACAAUGAGACAAAUUUUGUUACUGAUAUCGUAGUAGUUUACUUGGGAUUAAUUUUAGAUUAUUUUGAAUAGCAGUUAGCAUGUCUAUCCUUUCCAAACUGAGGGAUUAAUCAACCAUUAGUACGAAGUCUUGGAUCAAGGGCACUCUAUUUCUUUGCUAAAAAUAAACACUGCUCACCGUGGCAUUGGCACAGUUUGUGGAAGUCAUGGGGUUAUACUAUUGACAAGAUGGAUCUUCACUAUGAAAAAGAAAAUUCUAGCUUCAACUAUGACACAAAUUGUUCAUUAUAAUCAGUUCACUCUAAAUCUCACGCCAUCAUUGUGCCUUUUGCUAUCAAAAAAAAAUUUUUAUCAAAAAAAACUGUAUUGUAAAUUCAUUCUUUAAAUGAUUCAUUAUUCAUAAAAAAUAGUUUCAACAGACCAAUAUAACUUAUCUACAGUAAGUUCAAGGGUUUUGGAAAAUGUAGUAAUAUAUAUAUUGUUUUUGUCAUCAUCUUUUUUUUUUCUCCAGGAAGAAACCUACAUUUCAAAACAAACACAAAUAGUUUUCCAAUAAAUAAACCUCAAAAUACUAAAAAACAUGAAGAUUCAUAAAUUUAUGAACAUAAAACAAUAUUUAAACACUGGUCUAAUUCUAUGUAGAGUCCAAAGCAUACUGGUUUGAUUGAAGAUUGCUUGUGGCAUAAACUCAAGGACAAGAAAUUGUUUUGAAAGGUGAUCAGAAAUAAUUAUCCUGAAUACACUGUAGCCAUCAUACUCUGUAUUAGUGUUGAAGGUUAAGACAGGGAUGCAUUAGGUUAAUCAACGGUUCCUAACUUUAGGAGAGUUUAAGAUUAAUUAUAACUUUUAAGUACACAUCAAUCCUCUCUAGAGCUACGUGUCUUGGAAGAGCUCUUCCUGCCUGUCAGUCACUACCACCUACCAGGUAAGAAAGCCACGCAGCAGAGUGCUGCAUCUUACUGGGAAUGUUAUUGUGCAUUAAGAAAAAAAUUGAUAUAUCUUGAGGCUAGUUAGCAAAACAACUUAAUCCUUUUUUUUAUUAUUUCAUUUUAAAAGUGGAAAAACAGGUGUUUUUGGAGGGAAGCAGCACUGGAAUCAUAGGAGACCUAGAUGUAACUAUUGCCCCUUAAAUAAUGAGUGUCAUGCUAUCCCCUACAGAAUAUCUAUGAUAAAGGAUUAUUCAGUAAUGUAUUGAGCUAGCAUAGGUAAUGAUAAUAAAAAAUGUGAAGAUUGAUACAUUUUAAAAAAUACAACAAUAUUUAAACACUAGUCAAAGUAUAUCCAGAUUUUAUCCAGGAAAGUAAAAUUCAUAGUGGUUCAGUAAUGAAGCCCAUGAGUGGCAGAUCCUGGGUUCACUGACUUAGUUCUAUUGCUCUUUCUUUAGUUAUUACAUUACGAUGCCCAAUAAAGUACACCUUUUAAUUCGCUGCAAUUCAUAUGCAUAGAAAACACAUACAGAGAUAGUUUGUAUGUAUACACUCUCUACUGAAAAAAAAUGCUUUAAUCCAACAUAUAAUAAUAAGUUGUUAAUUGAAUUAAAGUAAAAUAAGCAAAGGAAUCAACAGUUAAUAUCACUAUCAGUAAUUAAUAAGUCAUUGUUAAAAGUGAAAUUCAUGUUGGAAUUCUGAUGGUUCUUUUUUAACUUUUUCUAUUAGAUUAAACUUUAUAAAUAUUUGAGCUUAUAUACAAUUUUUAAACAACAAAUACUUUUGUCUGUGAAUGCUUACAAAAACAAACCACAAAGAUGAGUAGUCAGUAGAUUUCUAACUCUGUUCAGAGCUUAAAGGUGCUUUUCAAGUUUUCAGUGGUCAAUAUGCAUCAAUUGGAUGGAUUUUUCUGUGGAAAAUAUUUUUAAAUCACUCAUAGCCUAUUUUGUAACAAAUAUACAAGGUGGGUUUCCACCUUGUAUAUCCAGCUCAUAUGUAUAUUUUAAAUAAAUUAAUUAUUUUAAAUCUCUGGUAGCCUUGCCAAAUAGUGCAAAGGCUGUGCUGGAAAUUCUUUCCUUCUCCAAAGCAAAUUCAUAGGGCGUUUUACAAACUGAGUAAUGUAAAGGGAAAAAAAAAGUGAGUCAUGUAGAAUCAUUCCCACAGUUUUCUGGGAAGGAGAAACAGAAACUUCUCAGGCUCUUUGCUGUCAACAGGAGUAAGGGCUAUCAGCAAUUACAAAGCUAUUGGAAAACAAAAUUAUAGUCCCCUCCAGGGUGCCAGGAUUUCAGGAGUAAAAGACGUCUCAUCUGAGCCAAGCUUUGAUGCCUUGCCCUGAUUUUUCUUCUUUCUCAGUGGAGAACCAUGUCCAAGUGCUCAACUUGGCUCUCGACUGCAUUUAAUCAGUCUCUGACCUCUUUCCUGCUUUUGCUCUUUCUAUUGAAGGAGCCAGAAGCACCAAUAAUUACGAUUAUAAUUACCCAGAAUGAGCAUUUCUGGAACGAGCCCUUUCACCGUGUAACUGGGAAGGUAAAAGUGCUAAUGUUGAAACAUUUCACGAGAUUCUAUCUUCUGAGCAGAGGAAGCAAUCUUCAAAGAAAAUGGAAAUAGAUGUCAGAAAGGGGUCUUGGGACCCCCAAAUACUAGUGACCUCCUCCCCCUGUUCCUUCUCCUCCUCCAUAAAUUUUAUUUAUGAUGGGUUUCAGAGAUAGUGUUAUUUCCUUUGGAGGAGCAAGGAGAAGCAAUGGCAUUUUUUUUUAAUGUAAUAUUUUUUUUUUCCACUUCUUAUGUUUUGAAUAGAUUGACUUCUGUGGACAGAAAAUAAAACUGAUUAAACUAUAAAUCUGUAGAUACGUGCUGCUCCUUGAAUUUUCAAAUAACCAGAGUUAAGGACGAAAUGCACGUGGCAGCAGCGAAGGCCCUCGCCUCCUCUGCCCCAUCAGCGCCCACUCAAUCUGGGUCACGGCGCCAGGCGGGGAGGACGGGGCCUGACGUGGAGACGCUCUGUUUCACACGCUCGCCCUCUGGAAGGGCUGGCAGGGGAAGUCACUUAAAUUAAACACAGAUCGUCAAACACGAUAUAUAAUCUAUUCCUAAAACAGACAACUUCAGCACCCCAAGUCCCCAUGGCUUUUUACGGAGGCACAUUGCACUACUUUUUAUGUGUCUCUGUCAAUUCGAGUUAGGGUUUGCUUUGGUUUAAAAGUGGCAUUUCAUGUAUUCCGUGACCCUCUUGCUCAAAGCAAAGAAGUUGCUUUGGUUUAUUUAUGACCUACUAACCUUAAGCAACACUGAAAAUACUUAAUGCUCCCACACGCCUAAGGAUGAGAAAUAAAAGCUACGAUAAAUCUGGUCUGGGCGCAGGUUUGUUUUCUCCUGCCCGCACGACCCUCCAAAAUUAGGGAAAAGGGGAUAGAAGGAGAUUCAUCCGUAAAUCACCUAUUGCUUGUGGCUCUUUUCAUACAAGGAAAAUUAUUCAAGAAUGCAGAUUGCGACCACCAGUUUAGAAUUCUGGAAUUAUGAACAGUGUGUUCUAAAAUAAAACUCUGCACACUUUCUUACAGAAAAUGCAAAGUCUCAGUACUAUGAAAUCUCAAUAUGUUAAAAAUAAAGGAUUUAUAGCUAAGUAUUGAGUUAUAAAAAUAUAGAAUAUAUAGGGUUAAAAAAUAUAAGACAGUGAUUGAAAGCUCACAUGAAGUAGCAAAAAAAUUAAGUUGAACCACCAAGUAGAACAAGUUUUCUGAAUGGGACAAAAAUAAUUCAGAAUACAGAGCCCUGAAGUUUAUUCUCUUCUCUGACACUAGGAUAAGUGCAGGUAAACACACAGAGAUCCUAUUUUCCAUUGUGGGAAAUUUAAACUGUUCAGAGGUGAGGUUUAAUUUUCAACAAACUAUGUCUAUGUGAAACAUGCAUCUAAUUUAGUGCAGGGAAAGAAGAAAAUUUAAUGACUGUAUUUACUACUGCUAUUUUAUGUGUAAAUGGCAAGACAUCUAAUGUAAUUUCUAUUGUUAUAAUCAAAUUAUUGUAAGAUUUUUAAGGAUUUUAACAUUUAAGUUAAUAUAUUGCACGUUUUAAUUUUAAAAAUUCAAGAAUUUUAGGUUUAAGUUAAUUGUAUUCUGCGAAGGACUUCUAGGAGAAUACCUUAGAAAACAAAAAAUAACAUAGUUGUGCAUUGCAAUUAAUUGCAACUGACUAGAGCUGUGCUUAUUGAUAGGCCAAAUGCGUAUUUUGUAUUAAGACAAAACACACGGUUUAGAGUCUUUUAUCACAGCAUCCCUGGUAUACAAAUGUUAGCAGAUGAAGCAAGAGAUGAAGAGGCAUGAUUGACAAUGGUUGCAUAUUGACCUGACACUAAUAACACAAUGGGCAAGCAGCAGAGCAGGAGUGAUAUGCCUUCCGCUGAAAUUGAUAAUGCAAACAAAUGGGUCCUCAGUCCCAGGGUAAUAUUCCUUCCGGCAGCAACACAGAAAUGCCAACUGAUAAAGCAUUCUUGUAAAGCAUGUUGUUCUGUGGGGAAAAUCUGCUUAUUUCAAAAGAAUUAAACACAGCAAAAGUCAGAUUAAUCACUGUUUUAUAUUCUAUGCCUAUUUUUCACCUCAAAACAUACUUCCAGUAGAUCAGUAAUCCUGUUUUUCACCACCCCCAAAAGAAAAGUGUGUUAGAAAAAGUUUCCAUGUAAAAAAUCUUUUCAGAAGGCAUUAAACAAUUACUGGCUUUAAAAUAUUCUAAGUGAGUAAAUAUCAGAGUGUGUAAAAGUUUGAGGUACAUAUUUCACUAAUAUUUCAGAAACAAUUGCCUUGGCUUAAAUAGACCAUGGUUACUUUCAAAGGAAUAUUCCAAAUUAUUGUGAUUUGUUUUAUCCACCAAUUAUUACUGUAUAACCAUGUUGGAUGCAGGUUAAGCAGAUUAAAUAGUGAAUUUCUAUCCUGCUUCUGAUGCAUCCAAAGUGACUUUUGUUUUAGUUGUUGAUAGAAAAUUAUUGAAGAUGGUUCUAAAAAUAAAUUCAAUAGAAUUCAAUAUAAUUUACAAAUAAGUGUUAAUCACAAAACACUCUUAGAAAAAAGGCAUAUGGGAAGAAUUUCCCAUCUAUCCACCCAUACAAAGGUAUUAAGAGUUACAAAUCUGUUCAAAACAAUUGGAAAUGAAUGGUUUUGUAGUUUAUAUAGAUCACAUUUACCCUUCACAGAUUAAUAAAAUCUUAGUGCCAUAAAGUAAGAGAAAUGGAUUGAGCUGGUUUCUCCAUUUAUAAUUUGUUCAGUAUUUUCUAAAUAAGAAUAUUCUCAGGAUAUGAUACUAAUUUUAAAACUCAAUUUUAGGAUGAAAUGUAUUAAAUAUGUAAUUUCAAUACAAAAGAGUAGCAUUGGCAUUAGUUUAGUUUGAGGAAAUCUAAGAGAAUUCUGUUUCGUUUUUGUAUAAUCGAAAUACAUCGGGUUUACCAACUAUAGCAUAGCAAUAUUUAAAUUAUGAGAUAUUGUUUUGAUUUGAUACCUCAAACUACUUCGAAUAACAAAUUCUCCCUGUCUUUAACAGUGAGAUAAUUCCAUCUCUGGAGCUAAGCCAAGAUAGGCAUUUUGAAUCAGAUCAAUGAAACAGAUCCUUUUCUCUCAUACGAUGUGAUGUGGAGGUUUGCCAAACCCUUGCUUGGAAAAAAUCACGGUUAUUCUUUCUCUCUUUCUUAUUCUUUUGAAAUGGCUUAAAAUGCAUAAAAAUGUGGGACUAAAGGUACUCUUUUGUUUCUGUCUCUCACCCUCUUCAGGUACUUACAGAUACUGUAAAGUCAGCAGAAUUCUGAGUUUCAAGGUUGCUUCAGUGAACAUUCAACGCUGUCGGUGAGUUUGGAAUUAAAAUCAAAACCAUCGACCGUUGAUUGUACCCUAUGGCUAACCGUCAUCUACUCCAUGGCGCUCAGAAUUCGCUGAAGACAGGAACCCAAAGAAGGACACUUCUCUUCCCUGUGCAGAGAUUAUUUUUUAAAAGGUCACAAUCAACAUUCAUUGCUGUCGGUGGGUUGAGCUGUGUGGACAAGCUCACUGAACAAUGAAUGCAACUGUGGCCCCGAUUUUUACUGUCACGAUCAACAGAUAUCCCAUCUUUGAAAGAUGCAAAGUAGCAACAUUGUUUCUUACUUUGAUUCAAUUUGUCAGAGCCUUCGGGUUUAUUUAUACAAUUUAUAUUAUGUAAUCAGAUUUCCAUGAAAAAGGCACGACGUUCAACACGGAUAAUACUUCUCUACAUGUCUGCAUGUUAUAAAUUUCUUUUAGAGAAGGUAAACUACUUUGUUCGUAGAAUGUAUAACAUGACCGUCUGGGUUAGCACAGCUUCCUGCCGUGGGAGGAAGGAAGAUUUGAAGGAGGAUGUCAGCACCCACACCAUUGGCACUCACAGUUUUGCAACAAUCACAGUAACACUUAAAAAACAUCCAUCCUCUACACUUUUUGUUAGAUUUACUAGCCAAAUUAGGAUAUAAACACCAGUCAAUGUUCUCUCUCUGCUUCUCUGGGUGAGGAUUCACUGAAACAAUGUUUUCUCUCACUGUGGAAUUUGCCAAGGAAGGAAGAAAAUAUACACAAAUAACUAUGUAACUAUUAUAGUCAUAUAGUAGAAUGAUUUUCCUAAUUAAGUUUCAACUUUAAAUUAAAAUUUUGCCCACUUUAUUCGUGUUUCUCCUUCCCCAAACCUGAUCUGCAUUGUUGGAUUUAUAACCAUGGCACAUUAAUUGCCUCAUUUUUAUUCAUCUGACUUUUAAGUAAAAGGCUAUUAUAUAGAUAUAUCAUUGUUUUUCGUAGUUUGGCUCUCUAUUUUUAUAGGGACCAUUUAUAAUUGAAUUGGGUCACAUCGGUUUUAAGUUUUCCAUUUGUAAUGAUAACGGCAGUUAUAUUAUCAUAUAUAUAGUAAUAAGAUAUUUCUAGAACGUUUAUGUUGGGAGUACCUGGAAGGCUUCAAUGUGCAUUGAGAAAAAUUCAUCACAUACAUUGUCCUUUCUUCUGUUCCUUGACCUUUCCAAUCCCAUCGACCUUCAGCUCCCACUGCAGACGUCCCCUUCCUAGUAGUCAGCCCAGGUGUUGACCUCCUUCCUCGGCUGCCCCUCGCCCCUUUCCACAGGUGAACUGACUUGCACUCAUUGGGAAGCCUUGGUCCUUCUGACCACUGCUCCCUCCGCCCUCUUGUUUACAGCCCACGAGUGUGCAGACUGCUGCCCCUCAGGCAUCCCCGCCUGCCCCGCCAUGUCCUCUCCCUUCCCCCAUGCGGCUCUUUCUAUGUCAUAGGUAACAAGGUUCAGCUUUCUCUCUUCUCAAACAGAAAACAAAAGAAAUCUAAGAAAAAUCUUUUCUGUACUUGCCUCAUCCUCUAGCUGCUUACCCCACUUCUCUCCUUCUCUUUAAACUCUAAGAUCGUGGAAACACUGUGUGGACUCCUGCAGCACUGUCUAUAUUUGUUGCUUUCCCGUUUCACCUCAGAUAGCUGUGAUCUGGCUGCUUCUGUUCGACCGUCCCUCUUCCCCACUUGCGCAGGGCAUCAUUUCACAGAAGCUGGUCUUCACCAAAAACCGCCAGUGAGCUCCACGCUGCCAGACGCUGGCCGCGCUUUGCUGCCAGCUAUCCUCUUUGAACUCCCCUCGGUCUCUGGCAGUACCGCCCACUUCUUGCUAAACUCCGUUCUCCGCGGACUUUUGUGACCCUACUCUGAUUUGGAUUUCUGUUUUUGUGAAAGUGACGUCUUUUUCUUUUUCUUUAAAGAGCACUUCUUAAUCUGCUUAAUCUUGCAAUGCUAGUAUUCUUGUGAGACACAUCCUUGGCUUUUUGGCUUUUAUGUCUUCUCAGACCUUAUGAUCUUUGAAGGAAUCUCAGGCACAUGAAUGAUGUUUACAUCGGCUUAGAUGCUGCUGAUGACUCAAGUCUUUAUCUCCAGGAUAGAUAUCCCAAAACUAAAUAUCUGUCUCCUGCUCUUCCAUAGACCCAAACGUAUCCAUGACAGCAGCUGAUUCGUCAGCUUUUCCCAGGUGAUGACAUCCUUGAUUUACUUAGCAACAAAAGCCAUAAAUCUUGAAGCCAUCUCAUACUCCGGCUUCUUGAGUUCUAGUUUUUCCUGCACAUAUAAUCACAAAAUCUUAAAGAUGCUCACUUCUAUCAUCUUGCUAAGUUUCCAAGUUUUCUGUGUACUUCUACUACCUUAGUUCAGAAAUAAAUAAUUUUUACUCCUACUCUUCCAUUAGUCUCCUAACUAAUUCUCUAUCAACCACCAGCCUGCCAUCUGUUCAAUAUUUUCUCCACAGUAUUUGAAAAAUAAAAUAUUUGUAAAAAUCGAAUCACAUUUUGAAAUCCUUCAGUGCAUCUUGAAUAAAAUGUCUUAAAAUGUUCAGUAGAUGAAUUGUUCUGGUAGAAAAGUAUUGUGAAUAUUAGCUAAAUGAGAAAGAAAUGAAAUCUUAUCUGGAACCUCACAUAAUCUCACAAGAUUUAUUUAAGUACAUUAAGGAAUUAAAUAUAAUUUGUAAAAAUUUCCUAGAAUAAAGGUAGUUGAAGAUUAACCUUGAAAUGGUGGAAAUUUUUUCAAUAUUAACACAAUCAAAGCAAAAAGAAAAAAGAAAAGAAUGGAAAGAUUUGACUACAUUAAACUUCAAACUGUAGCAUGUCAAAAGUAAUCCUAUAAUAAAAAGGCAGAGGGCACAAUGGAAAAGAAUGUGAGCAAUUAAUAACACAAAUGAUUAAUUCACUUACUAUAUAAAAUUUUAAAUAUUUUAAUAUGAAAAAGUGGUGAGAAAAAAAUUACCAACUCAGAUAAAUGAGCAGUGGCCAUAAACAGAGUAGUCACAGAAGAAAUGCCAAUGAAUGAUACAUCCACGAUGUAAAAUGCUGCUUUACUCAUGAAAAUUCAAAUUGGAAACAAUGAAAUCUAAUUGAUCUUUCGUAAAGCUAACUGAUGGAGAAAAUGACAGAGAAUCUAGUGAUACUAACAUGAAUCUUCUCAUAGUUUACUAGACAUGAUUGCCUUUAGCUUCUACUGAUACUCACGUCUCCUUUUGCUUUUGCACUUGGGACCUCACCUCCUCCCAGCUAUGGGCUGAUUGGAUCAGAGGCUCACAGCUGUUGCAAAGGGAACCAAUCCAGAGGCUUGGCUGAGACCCUCAAAUUUUCAUUCUUAGCAAUCUGAGCUAAAAUAUACUAGGUCUUCAGGAGGUAGUGGCUGUGUACAAAAUGUAUAAUGCCAUGAAGAUCUGGGGUAGCUUAACAUUUCACUUUGUUUAUAUGUCAGCAAGAAGCAGAAGGUGAUUAGUGAAGAGCAGAAAUACAAAACAGGCCCGAGAUGUUUUGCAAUUCCCUGAGAGAUGGAUGAAGUAGCUUUAGUCCACAAAGGUACAGGCCCAACACUCAUCUUCCCAGCUAUCUUUGCUCUGGUUUUUGAUGUCUGUUUUGGAUGUCUAUUAGACUUUCGAUGGCUUGAAAUACACCCUGCUUUAUUUUUUAGCUAGGACGAGUGUGUGUUCUUUGACAUCAAAACCAUACAAUGCUCAUGAAAGUAUGAACUGAUGUAAACUUUAUGAAAACAAAUUGGCAAUCUUUAUCAAGAAUUUAAAAAAUGCUUAUAAAGUUUGAAUCAAUAAGUCUAUCUCUAGGAUUUUGUCUUAUGUAUUUAUUCAUUCAUUUUAAUUGACAAAUAAUAAUUGUAUGUGUUAUUGGGGUACAAAGUGAUGUUUUGGUUUAUGUAUACAUUGUAGAAAGAUUACAUCAAGCUAAUAAACAUACCCACCACCUCACCAACUUAUUAUUUUUUGUGAUGAAAACACUAAAAACCUAUUUUUUUAGCAAUUUUGAAAUAUACAACAUAUUAUUAUUGACUGUGAUCUUCCUAUAGUUCAAUAGAUCACUAAUACCUAUUCUUCCAGCCUAACCUAAACUUUCCAUCCUUUGAUCAACAUCUUCCUUUCCCCAUCCUUCCCUAUCCCCCAGCUUCUUUCUGCUCUGUUUCUAUGAGACUGAUAUUUUUUAGAUUUUAUAUGUAAGUGUGAUCACAAGCAUUUGCCUUUCUGUGCCUGUCCUACUUCACACGAGAUAGCAUCUUCCAGUUCUAUCCAUGUUGUUGAGAAUGACAGAGUUUUCUUCUUUUUUAAAGGUUGCAUAGUAUUCUGUUGUGUAAGUGUAUACCACAUUUUCUUCACCUAUUCAUCCAUGGACACUUAGUUUCCUUCCCUGGCUUAGUUGUUGUGAAUAAUGCUGAAAUGAACAUAAGACUAUAGAUAUCUCUUUGCCAUACCAAUUUCUUCAAAUCUAAGAAACCAUUAGUGACAAGACAAACCAUCAUUGUAUGAAGAAGAAGAGGAAGGCAAGGAGGGAGGGAGGAAGGAAGGAAGAAGGAACCCUGACCAUUCUAAUUUUAAAAUGCCAUCAAUUAUAGGACAUGUCUCAAUUUCAGAGAUGUUAAAAUGUGAAAAAGAUGAAUCUUAGAGUAAAUGAAAUAUAGUAUUUAUCCUCAGAACUUCACCAUUGAGGGGUGGCCUUGCUUACAUUAAACAAGGAAUACAAUUAAGCCUGAAGAGGUGAUGUAAGAAAAUAAUGAUUGAAAGGUUUUGGAAAAGAUUUUAAUUUUUCCUCCACCACUGACCAAAAUGAAGUGAUUGGUUUAAACUCUACAGGUGUCGGAAGGAUUUUCAAAGCUUUUUUAGCUGUAUAUGAUUGUUAUGCUAAGUGCUGACUUUAAAACCCAACUUUCCCUUUAACUUUAAGGUAAGAACAACUUCUAGAUAUAAACUGUUUUUUCUUCAUUUCUAUGACUGUAAUAUAUAGCUAGUACGAAGAGAUAGCAUUUAUGUAACAACCAUAUUUAUGCUUUUACCAUCCUUUCUUUUACUGUACUUGAUGCCAUCACAAUCCAAUACAAUUUCAAAGGGUCUUCAUCAUAUUUUCAAGUCACCUCCCACCCUCUUUAGAUAAAUUCACUCAUUCUUCCUGCUCCCUCUAAGAAAGCAGAUUGUGAAUAUGUUUAGAGUUCUUUAAACAGGCCCUCCGCAUGCACAUAUUCCUGAAAAAUCAACACCACGCAGCAGAAAUAAAAGAUUUCACUGUGUUCACUGCCUGAGUCUCCCUAAGCCCUGGACAGACAGCUUGGACCCGCGAACAUAAAGCUUUCACGAGUGGCGCCAAAUCACACAAAGCCAUUUUUAAGAUGCCUGGUUUACGCUAUCAAUCCUCUUACCUUAGGCAACCCUCUCCUGCUGGUUAAGUGCUAACACAUGCUUCACAACUGCAGGAAGGGAUAUGGUUUACAGAUUAAAAUUAGAUGCAGAAUUAAAUUGCUUGAACACAGCAAAAUAGAAGGGUAGUGGAUGAGGUGGAGAAGACAAUCUGAGCAUGCCAAUACGCACACACACUUAACUUUAAGACUUGGAUUUCCACAAUCUCCAUCAGAAUUCUCAGGUUCGGGUUCUGUUCUCAUUACUGAGAGUCACUUUUAGAGCACCAGCACAUCGAGUCUGUCAGUGAAUGUGCAGCUCCGUGAAAACGGACGUUCGAAUGGUGGAAUUCACAGCUAUGAGAGAUUGCCGAGUUAAAUGCCAGAGCUCCUUGCAGAAAGCCAGGCAGAGUAAUUUAACGAUGACUAAUGACAUUUGUAACUUUUCAGGCUACUAUAACAAGAGUAAUCAGAUCUCAUGCUUCAGGACGCAACGUGAUCACCUGUGCUUUUCAGAAAAGCACUUCUGUGCACACGGCCAGUGCUGCACAGCUGGCCAAGCACAUGGCUGGCAGCGUCACAAGAGACGGGAGGAGAGGUAGGCUUUCUCCAAGUCAUUGAAGCCCUUUUGCAACCGGUAAACACGUACUAGCAUAGCAAUUAAGAUCGAUUCAUCUCUAGCAAGUCAAAAAUGGCAGCCAUUGUCCAAAAAUGUAAGAUCUACAUCACCAGAAAAGAAAUAAAUAAGUUUACAAUAUGUUCUUUCCUGGUUUUGAGUACAAGGUCAUAAAAAUCGAAAGUUAUUUACUCAUUCAUUCAACAAAUAUGUACUGGGAACCCAUACUGGCAUUUUGCUGAGUGUCGGGGAAGAUACCAUGGUAAGUGCAAACACAGUCACUACUGCUGGGAUCUUGAAAUCUAGCGGCAGAAGAUAUCGAUCGCGCCGUUAGACAACCAGAGGGCUCUAAAGACAAGAGCUAGAGAAUAAAAGGAAGACCACAGGAUCUGAAAAAAAAUUCAAAAAAUAAAUCAAAGCUCAGUCAUAUUAACUUGCACAUCAAGGGAACAUGUACCAGUGAAGAAAUUCACCAAGACAUUCACCCACAGGGAAAAUGUGCAGAUUUUUUAGUGCCAAGCAAGGGUAUUCUUGGUAAUGUGCUAAGUAAGGAUUGAAAACUAGCUCUCUGGAUCAGCUGAAUGGGUGCAAGUUCUACAUAUGGUUGGGUAAAACUAUUGAUCAGUAAAGAGUUCUCAGUUAGGUCUAGUAAAGGUUUGGUGUGCCAAGGUCAUGGUCUUUUAUGAGCCGGUUAGAGCUCAACCACAACUGGUUAGAGGUAGUUGUGAUGAAAUUUGGUUUUGAUACCUGCCAGGCAAGUACUGCUGGAGUGGACAGGUUGGCAUUUACAGAUGUAAAAGAUAACAGGUGGAGAAGCGGGGUAUGGAGUUAGGGAAGGUAGGCAGAGAGCAUCCCAGGCAGAGAAACUUACCUGUGUAGACACUCGAUCCUGGAAGAAGAAAGGCAGACUAAGGACCCAUAUCAUGCGGCUGGAGCAUACCCUCCAGGGAGACAGCUGUUACUUGAGGUCAGGGCUGUGACCGGUCACACAAGCAUGUAUCAGCCAUGCUUAACAAUUUCGGUCUACUGUCCUGAGAGCAACAGGAAACCAGUGAAGGACCUUAAAACAAUGGAUGUGAGCAAUGGUUGCAGGGUAGUAGAUGAUCUCAUGUGUGUUGCUAACAAAUCACCCUGGGUAUAGUGUGAAUGAUGAGCCAAGGGGUUUACUAGUUGAACUGUUUACACACCAUUUAAGAGGCAAUUAUUAUUGCCCAGAAGAGAGAUAAUGGAAUUAAAAACAAAAGAUUCCAAUAAAUCCAGAUGAUUUCAACAACAAAAGAGAACGAGAGUUAUCAGGGGAGAUAAAGGGUAAGGUGCCCAAAUCUCAAACUGACCAAUAACUCAUAAACAUGUUUAACCUGUGAUCCAAAGCGCUGUCAUAGAGACUGCGGUUGGCAGCCCCUAAGACGGGCCCAAGGAUCCUCAUCUGCUGUGUGGACUCUGGCGUGGUCCCCUCCUCUAGUGUGGGCUGGAUGCUGAGUUAAUCCUAAGGAACAGAAAGCAGCAGAGGCCAUGGCGUCCCUUCCAAGAUUAGGUUACCAACAAGAACUGGUUUCUGUCUUGGUUGUCCUCUUUUGCUUUUUCCUGGGCCUCUCUCUGUGGGGACAGCCAGGUGCCGUGUCACGAAGCAGGCUUGCGCAGGGGUGCAUAUAGCAAGGGACAGAGGCCCACAGCAGCCACGCGAGCGAGCUUGCAAGCAGAGCCUCCCUGCUCAAACCUUGGGGUGACUGAAGCCCGACCCGAGCCCUUGAUUACAGACCUGUGAGUGAGCCUGAGCUGAGAGGACCCCAGCCAACCCUCAUCAGGUGGCUGCCGCCCAGAAAUCGUGAGGUAAGUUGUGUGUAAGAAGUCUCCGCUCGUUUAAGCUGCUGGGCUUUGGGGUGGCUUGUUACACAGCAGCAAGCGGCCGCGGAGCGAGCUGGCUGGCUCGCCAAGCAGUCUGCCCAUCUUAUGUCACGGUCACUGCUUUGAAUUUCAAAUCUCCAGAUGUACCUCUUUACUCUACUAUUAAUACUUCGUUCCUUUCCACUUCCCUUGCUACAUUUUUUAUUAAAAUGUGAUUUUCUACAGCAAUCAGCAUCUAGCAUCUCUUAUAUGUAAUAUACAUAAGAGAAAGUUUAGGUGAUUUCAGGAGCAAUGGUUUAGGGAUCAAUAAAAGAAAAAAUAAUUGAGAUGUGAUGUCUUUUUUUUUUUUGUUCUCCGUGACAUGAUUCAGGAAGAGAUACGAUGUCUUUAUAACAGUAUUCUGCUUCUAUCAAUUUGGCACUUUCAAAGAGUGGAUAAGCUCAAAGUACAAAAAUCACCUGUAUCUUCUCUGUCCCAUUUUUAGUAAAAAUUCUGGUUAUAUUGAUUAAAUAAAAAUAACUAUCUUAGGAUUUUUGCUGUGAUUAUGUAAUGACAGGAGAAAGACCCUUUACAUAGCUCAUCCACAACAUUGGGCUGCUACAAAACAAGCAUGAACACCGGGUGCAUAUAAAAUAUGGAAUUAUUCCCACGAAAACCUCCCCCCUCAAUACAGCAGAGCCUCCAUCUCCAGACCCCUCCCUGUCUCCACCUGGCCCAGAGUGUUUCCGAGAGGUCCCAGGGGAUUCACAAACCCGGUCCACCCGUGCACUGCACCAGCCGCUUUCUUCCACGUCUCCUUUCUUUUGCAUUAGAACCGUUCCCACCCAGCGCCGCUGUUCUUUUGGCUGCGUGCUGUCACGCCAGCCAGCACGCUCUCCCGCUGACGGAGCAUCUCUUCGGUGACAGCAACGUGGCUGCCAAGUUCUGUCACUCUGGGCCCCCCACCCUGCAGUGCUGAUGCCAACUGCCAGAGCUGCUCCGUGCAGGGAAUUAGGAGACCGCUGUGUUUUGUUUUGUUUUUCAGUUUAACAUUGGUAAAAUGGUACCAAGGAACUGCAUUUUUUCCCGUAUCAUACAAAGAUUUAACAAAGUCAUUCUAUUUAUCCAGGUAAUAAAGUAUAAAUCCAUAAAGUGGAGCCACGCCAAGCACCUGCCUACAAGGAAGUUUGUGGAUUCUUUAUACCAUAGAUUCCUGGGAAGACUUGACCAGAGUCAUCUGAAUCACAGUACAGGAGACCACUUGGCCUCAAACUAGUCCCCUACAACACCAAAGUGGAAUAAUCAUUUACUCUUUCAUUUCCUCCUAUUAACAAUAGCAACGGCGAUAAGCGGCAAAAACUAAUAAAUGUCUCAAGAUUUCAUGGUAAAAACAUUGGAUUAAGAAAUUGAGAAAUUUGUGCUUCAGUCUAGUCUUACCAUGAACUACUUAUCUGAUACAAGUCAGGCUGAUCUUCUUCCAGAAUCUUCUCUGACACAUAAUUUUCUUAUCUCUAAAUGAGUUUCAGGGACAGUCAAUCUCUAAACUCCCUCACAACUCAAAAUCUCUACAAUUGAGAAAAAAAUAAAAUUUUGGCAAAAUUAGUCAUAAAAUUAUGUAAAUCUUAGGAACUUUGCUUUACAUUUGUUUUUAUUGAUAUUGGGCUUUUAAAAAUGCUUAUCAAUUUUUAAUCACAUGUGCCAUUUAAACUCAACUGAGAUAUGUAAUAAAACAAAGGUUAAAGUAUUUUCUGAUUUGCAUUAAUAAUCAGACUGAUCACUCUGAAAUGUAUAGAUGAUAUGAGGGGAAAAAAAAAACUUCAAUGAAAAUGAAAUAGAAAACAUAUUCAGGCAGGCCAAGCAUUAAAAAGGUAUGAAAGAAAUGAUAAGACAAGGGAACGAAUGUAGUUCUGAAGUUUUAAUUUUCUGCUCUAUCCCAUUUCUACCCUUUGAGGAAGUCAGCAGCAGGUUUUGGUUUUCUGCUGUUUUUCUUCACACUAGUAAUUCCCAAUGAGGUGGAAAUCUCUGUCCAGGCCAAUUGUACAAAAAGGGAACUGACUCAGACUUCUGAUUUUUAGCAUUGGCCUCAAACUUAUUCCCAAUGCUUUUAGUACUAACAUAUUUUCCAAAGAGCACCCUUAAUGUAAAUAAAACAUGCAAAAUGGUUACACAUGUAAACAAUCAAGAAAGACAAUUGUGUUGCUAAAUGUUUACUUGAUCUUGUAUGGCAUUUGCAUGGUACACAAGGUCUCCCUGGGUAAUAGAAACACUGUGUCCUCUACUUUGUUUGACUUAGCACUGUCAGAAGGGAAUGCCAGGAACUGGGAAUGAGAAGGACUCUGAUUCGACAAGAGUAACCUGCUUCUUCCUGCAGAUCUUCACCGAAAUGGCUAAAGAAAAUAACAACAGAGGAAAACUGAGAAACCAGGAAAGGGUGCUUGCUAUUCACACUCCAGAAUCUUUGAAGAAUUCCUUCAUUAAAUACGGGUAUACCUCAGAGACCUUGCGUGUUCUGUUCCAGGCCAACCCAAUAAAAUCUGCUCCUCAGCAACUGUUACUGGUACACGUGUCUACGUCAUUGAUGUGGGAACAACAGCUGCCUUCCGAGGACUGUUGAUAACACCACCCUCCACUGAGCUCUUGUCAGGGGUCAGACACCCUUGUACACGUUUUCGCACGUUUUCUCAGGUAAUCUUCACGACAACCCUAGCAGAGAUGAAAAGCAUGAAGCUCAGAACUUUCCCCAAAUUAUGUUACCAAAUUGCGUUGAUAAAACCAGGCUGAAGCUUUUAACUCCCCAGCAGUCACCUACCCCUGCAUCUGCCGUGCACCAGAGCGCGCCCAGGAGUUUGGAGGCAGCCACCUCAGCCAGCACUGGGUAGCCGAGCUCAGCCCGCUCUCAGAGGUCAUGCCUGAACUCUGAGGACAUGGCCUUACCCUUCUCAGACGGGCCGUGUUUGCUGCCUGGCACAUCUCAAACGCAGCAGGCUCCGUCCCUUGACCGCCGUCACCCCUCCCUUCCAAAGACUGCGGCGCCAGGAGGGCCCGGGUCACGUGACCAGCCGCUCACUUCUGUUUGUGAAGCUUCUCAGCCAAGAGGAAAACCAUUAGGUAUCGGAUUGCGAGUAGAAAGAUCCAAGAGGCUGCCUAUUCCAGCACCAGUUCCUGCCAAAGAACCUUAAAUAAACUCGGUGGAGGGGAGAUGUCUGAAUUUACUCUGUAUGCGGUAUAUUUAGCUUGGGAGAUUAAUACAUAGAACUUGAUUUCAUCUCAUUAAUUAGUUUUGAGUUCUCAACACAGACAAAACUAAUAGGCUUUUGUGUGUGUGUGUGUGUGUGUUUUUCCCCUUGUCACUCCCUUUGUGGGCUUCUUUUGGGUAAAAAGCUAGUCAAUACACUACUUAGGGUAAAAGAAAAAUCUAUGCAAAGAGUUAAGUAGCUCUUUAUUUAUUUAUAUUUUUUAGCCGAAGGUGAAGGUAAAGUCAGGCAAUUUCUCUAACAAUCAAUCACGAGGUUCGGCGGUAACACGGCUAGAAAAGGAGGCUCGAACACACAAGAGGAAAAGAUCAGUGUGCCUUGAAAACUGUAAUUAAAUACUUAAAAUGUUUGCCUUCAUUUUUAAAAAGCCUAUUAUUUGGGCAUAAUAUGUUCUGAGGGGAACUGAACAGUUAUAUCCCCAUUUUCAAAGGAAGUCUAAUAAGGUAGAGUCUCCGUCUGUUUCACGCGACUUAAUGGAUGUCAUGCCACCUGCGCGGCCUGCUCAUCCCGAGGUGCAUCAACACGAGCGGUCUCCUGGGCAGCGCGGGCCGGGCCGCGGCGGGGCCUCGGGAGCCUCCGCGAGGAAGGAGAGGGGGAGCAGGAGUCAGGCUCGCCCUGGUUCCUGAGGGGAGAGGGCGGGCCAGGCAGGACAAGAGAACAAGAUACGGUGUUUUGCCUUCAAGCAAAAUGUAUUUUCUCGGAAGGAAAACCCACAUGGGUGAGAGAGCUGUUCUCUUCUUAUGCUCGUUGAAAUGCUCCAGGGAUAAUUCUGGGGCAAACUCUAGUUCAAGGCAGGUGCUGAGACUGGGAAACCAGAACGUGGUGAGAGGUCACCCAAUAAGGAAGGGUCAGAGUAGGCAAAAAAAAAAAAAAAAAAAUGGAGGCAAUUCAAGAAGGCAGUAACAGAGCUGGGAUGCAGCCCCCCAAGGCAGAAAGUCAGCUAGGCAGGCAGGCAGUGCUGGAGCGCGGAGGCAGGAGGAAAGCAGCAAAGCUUUAGCUGAGUAAGGACAACGGGCAAAGCAUCAGGACAGCGAAUUAAAACCCCAAAUCAAGGGACAGAAAAGUUACAAACACAAAACAUUAAGAGGUCCAAAGCCCAAGCCGUGAAAUCAGUUGGUUCAAACACUAGUCACAAACAGCGCGUCCAGGGAAAGCGUAAAGUACUUAUUACAACGGAUAAAAAGAAUUGUCCUCUCCCGGGACUGCAGCGGUUCGAAAAACGAGAAAAGGUGUCUGUAUAAAAAUUAAGGCUAUUUUUCACCUCUUACCGUGAAGCUGUGGGGAGAGGGAGAACACAGGUGAAAAAGGAAAAGGGACCUUAGAGACAAUGAUCGGCCUCUCUGGGGCACAUUCUUCUUGGCGACAAUUCCCUUCCCCUCAUGGCCUGAGGGUGGUACAAAUGGUCCUUGUGGGCACGGAGCGAAGAGCCACGGGCUCUGCAGCACAGGCUGGGGUCUGUGCACGGAGGAGGCCACAGACACGCAAUGGGAGCCUGCCGUCAGUGCAGGUCACGGGGACAGACCCAGAUGGACACUGUUAGGAUGCUUUGCA